GUCGACCCGGAAGACGACGAAGAGUCCGCGGGAGCACUUCCGCUGUAGACACGAAACAAACUAACGAAUCAAAUCGUCGAUUACUGCCGUGCUUAUUUCAUUACGAUAAAUACCUCGGCAUAUGAGCUCCAGGACACCAUUCACACCCUGAAAGAGGAAAACCUCCACCUGCAGCACCGACUGGAGAACCUCACCCAGGCUGUCCAGGAUUUGAAACACCUGCUGACAGAGCACUCCAAAGUGUCAGGGAAGGAACAUGAUGCCAAAUACCUGCACGCCUGGAAGGAGUGGUCGCAACAUGGUAUAAAUGCUGAGACUCACCAAAUGUUGGAGCAGACGCUUUGUUUGACUGAGCUGCACGGUGCUGCCCAAACCAUCUUUGACACACCGGGCCACCUCCUCCUCCUCGUCCUCUUCCUCUCACCUCAUCUGAUUCUCACUCUUUCGUGAUGACUCACCGUCAACAGAGCGACAACCUUCACCUUGUAAAGACAUCCCCUGGAUUAUAGAGUUCCCAUGACUGCAGCAGUAUGAGUAAAUGACAUUAUCAUCCUGGGGUCUGGCAAGGAUAUUUUUUUUUAAAUGCUGGGUUCUAAGCUUCCAAAGAAAUAGAAAGAAAAAAAAAAAUCCCUUGAUAGCUACAAUGAUAGUUACACGGUACAUUUAAGAUUUGUUCAUUAUUUAUUUAAUGUUAUAUUUUAAAUUUCCACACGUGAUCUCCCAACUACAGGGUGUUAAUAUUGUUUUCAUAACAUGUGAAUUAUUUACAUUUCUUUCCGACAAAAAGUCAAAUGUUUAUAUUUUUAAAUCAAACUUGGGAGAUAAACUGUAUGUGUGUGUGUGUUAUGGUAGAACAUAAACUCCUUUUGAUGUAAUUUAACCCCCACAUUUCCACACUCCAAUUGUACUGUGUAUGUCUUCACUGUUAAUGUCUCCUUCAGGAUGUGAAUAAAGGCACAUUG